GGACGAACGCUGGCGGCGUGCUUAACACAUGCAAGUCGAACGGAAAGGCCCUGCUUUUGUGGGGUGCUCGAGUGGCGAACGGGUGAGUAACACGUGAGUAACCUGCCCUUGACUUUGGGAUAACUUCAGGAAACUGGGGCUAAUACCGGAUAGGAGCUCCUGCUGCAUGGUGGGGGUUGGAAAGUUUCGGCGGUUGGGGAUGGACUCGCGGCUUAUCAGCUUGUUGGUGGGGUAGUGGCUUACCAAGGCUUUGACGGGUAGCCGGCCUGAGAGGGUGACCGGCCACAUUGGGACUGAGAUACGGCCCAGACUCCUACGGGAGGCAGCAGUGGGGAAUAUUGCACAAUGGGCGGAAGCCUGAUGCAGCAAUGCCGCGUGCGGGAUGACGGCCUUCGGGUUGUAAACCGCUUUCGCCUGUGACGAAGCGUGAGUGACGGUAAUGGGUAAAGAAGCACCGGCUAACUACGUG
rnacentral:rRNA from 1 species